CAGCCGCCACGGGAAUACGUAGGGUGCGAGCGUUAAUCGGAAUUACUGGGCGUAAAGGGCUCGCAGGCGGUUUCUUAAGUCUGAUGUGAAAGCCCACGGCUCAACCGGGGAGGGUCAUUGGAAACUGGGAAACUUGAGUGCAGAAGAGGAGAGUGGAGUUCCACGUGUAGCGGCGAAGUGCGUAGAGAUGUGGAGGAACACCAGUGGCGAAGGCGACUCUCUGGUCUGUAACUGACGCUGAGGCUCGAAAGCGUGGGUAGCAAACAGGAUUAGAUACCCCGGUAGUCCCUGUCUCUUAUAC
rnacentral:rRNA from 1 species